rnacentral:rRNA from 1 species
CCCUUAGAUGCUCUGGGCUGCACGCGCGAUACAAUGGUGCAUUCAGUGAGCAUAUCCGAGCUUGAAAAGGCGCGGUAAUCUUCAAAGUGCAUCGUAGUUGGGAUAGAUGAUUGCAAUUGUUCAUCUUGAACAAGGAAUAUCUAGUAAACGCAAGUCAUCAACUUGCAUUGAUUACGUCCCUGCCGUUUGUACACACCGCCCGUCGCUCCUACCGAUUAAAUAAUCCGGUGAAUUGAGUGGAUUGGAACCUUCUUGCAAAAGAAGGAGCCAAGAAGCUCUGUGAACCUUAUUAUUUAGAGGAAGGAAAAGUCGUAACA